rnacentral:rRNA from 1 species
AUUGAACGCUGGCGGAAUGCUUUACACAUGCAAGUCGAACGGCAGCACGGACUUCGGUCUGGUGGCGAGUGGCGAACGGGUGAGUAAUGUAUCGGAACGUGCCCAGUCGUGGGGGAUAACGUAGUGAAAAUUACGCUAAUACCGCAUACGAUCUAUGGAUGAAAGCGGGGGAUCGCAAGACCUCGCGCGAUUGGAGCGGCCGAUAUCAGAUUAGGUAGUUGGGGGGGUAAAGGCCCACCAAGCCAACGAUCUGUAGCUGGUCUGAGAGGACGACCAGCCACACUGGAACUGCAACACGGUCCAGACUCCUACGGGAGGCAGCAUUGGUUAAUUGUGGACAAUGGGCGAAAGCCUGAUCCAGCCAUUCCGCGUGCAGUAUGAAGGCCCUCGGGUUGUAAACUGCUUUUGUACAGAACGAAAAGGUUUCUACUAAUACUAGGAGCUCAUGACGGUACUGUAAGAAUAAGCACCGGCUAACUACGUGCCAGCCGCCGCCGUAA